GACGAACGCUGGCGGCGUGCUUAACACAUGCAAGUCGAACGGAAAGGCCCUGCUUGCCGGGUACUCGAGUGGCGAACGGGUGAGUAACACGUGGGUGAUCUGCCCUGCACUUCGGGAUAAGCCUGGGAAACUGGGUCUAAUACCGGAUAUGACCUUCCAUGUAGUGUGGGGGGUGGAAAGAUUUAUCGGUGUGGGAUGAGCCCGCGGCCUAUCAGCUUGUUGGUGGGGUAAUGGCCUACCAAGGCGUCGACGGGUAGCCGGCCUGAGAGGGUGGACGGCCACAUUGGGACUGAGAUACGGCCCAGACUCCUACGGGAGGCAGCAGUGGGGAAUAUUGCACAAUGGGCGGAAGCCUUAUGCAGCGACGCCGCGUGGGGGAUGACGGCCUUCGGGUUGUAAACCUCCUUCGACAGGGACGAAGCUUCGGUGACGGUACCUGUAUAAGAAGCACCGGCUAACUACGUG
rnacentral:rRNA from 1 species